AACUAUGUGCCAGCAGCUGCGGUAAUACAUAGGUCGCGAGCGUUAUUCGGAUUUAUUGGGCGUAAAGCAAGCGCAGGCGGAUUGAUAAGUUCUGUGUUAAAAGCAGCUGCUCAACAGUUGUUUGCACCGAAUACUGUCAGUCUAGAAUGUGGUAGGGAGUUUCGGAAUUAAAUAUGGAGCGGUGGAAUGUGUAGAUAUAUUUAAGAACACCAGAAGCGAAGGCGGAAACUCAGGCCAUUAUUGACGCUUAGGCUUGAAAGUGUGGGGAGCAAAUGGGAUUAGAUACCCCAGUAGUCCACACCGUAAACGAUGGGUAUUAGAUGUCGGGUUUUAAUUCUCGGCGUUGUAGCUUACGUGUUAAAUACCCCGCCUGGGUAGUACAUAUGCAAAUAUGAAACUCAAAGGAAUUGACGGGGACCUGAACAAGUGGUGGAACAUGUUGCUUAAUUCGAUAAUACACGAAAAACCUUACCAAGGUUUGACAUCCCCCGCAAAGCCAUGGAAACAUGGUGGAGGUUAUCGGGGUGACAGGUGGUGCAUGGUUGUCGUCAGCUCGUGUCAUGAGAUGUUUGGUUAAGUCCCGCAACGAGCGCAACCCUACUC
rnacentral:rRNA from 1 species